UCUCUGGUGGCUCAGAGGGUAAAGCGUCUGCCUGCAAUGCAGGAGACUUGGGUUUGAACCCUGGGUGGGGAA
rnacentral:tRNA from 1 species